UGCUGGCGGUGCUUACCAUGCAGUCGAGCGGUAAGGCCCUUCGGGGUACACGAGCGGCGAACGGGUGAGUAACACGUGGGUGAUCUGCCUCGUACUUCGGGAUAAGCCUGGGAAACUGGGUCUAAUACCGGAUAUGACCUUCGGAUGCAUGUCUGAGGGUGGAAAGAUUUAUCGGUACGAGAUGGGCCCGCGGCCUAUCAGCUUGUUGGUGGGGUAAUGGCCUACCAAGGCGACGACGGGUAGCCGGCCUGAGAGGGCGACCGGCCACACUGGGACUGAGACACGGCCCAGACUCCUACGGGAGGCAGCAGUGGGGAAUAUUGCACAAUGGGCGAAAGCCUGAUGCAGCGACGCCGCGUGAGGGAUGACGGCCUUCGGGUUGUAAACCUCUUUCGACAGGGACGAAGCGCAAGUGACGGUACCUGUAGAAGAAGCACCGGCCAACUACGUGCCAGCAGCCGCGGUAAUACGUAGGGUGCGAGCGUUGUCCGGAAUUACUGGGCGUAAAGAGCUUGUAGGCGGUUCGUCGCGUCGUUCGUGAAAACUUGGGGCUCAACCCCAAGCUUGCGGGCGAUACGGGCGGACUAGAGUACUUCAGGGGAGACUGGAAUUCCUGGUGUAGCGGUGAAAUGCCCAGAUAUCAGGAGGAACACCGGUGGCGAAGGCGGGUCUCUGGGAACUAACUGACGCUGAGAAGCGAAAGCGUGGGUAGCGAACAGGAUUAGAUACCCUGGUAGUCCACGCCGUAAACGGUGGGGUACUAGGUGUGGGUUUCCUUCCACGGGAUCCGUGCCGUAGCUAACGCAUUAAGUACCCCGCCUGGGGAGUACGGCCGCAAGGCUAAAACUCAAAGGAAUUGACGUGGGGCCCGCACAAGCGGCGGAGCAUGUGGAUUAAUUCGAUGCAACGCGAAGAACCUUACCUGGGUUUGACAUACACCGGAAACCUGCAGAGAUGUAGCCCCCUGUGUUCGGUGUACAGGUGAUGCAUGGCUGUCGUCAGCUCUGUCGUGAGAUGUUGGGUAAGUCCCGCAACGAGCGCAACCCUUACUUAUGGUGCAGCGCGG
rnacentral:rRNA from 1 species